UGGCUGGCGUCACCAGGACAACGGGCGUCGCCGGCGCCGUGUGACUUCGGGCUGUGGGCUUGCUCGCGGCUCUUCGGCCAUGGUUUUCUCAAACAAUGAUGAAGGCCUUAUUAACAAAAAGUUACCUAAAGAACUUCUCUUAAGAAUGCUGUUCAGCUUGUUGUUAAAUUUUACUUGGUCUAAUCCAGAAUGUACUAAGUAUGUACAUAGCAUUGGUCUGGAUUCUUUUUGUAAUGUGAAUAUUUUCCUUCUUGGAUAUAGUAACUUUGUGCCGAUGUGCACAGAUUUCCAAGGCUUGGAACAUCUUAGCCCUGGAUGGAAGCAACUGGCAAAGAAUAGAUCUUUUUAACUUUCAAACAGACGUAGAGGGUCGAGUGGUGGAAAAUAUCUCGAAGCGAUGUGGUGGAUUCCUGAGGAAGCUCAGCUUGCGAGGCUGCAUUGGUGUCGGCGAUUCCUCCUUGAAGACAUUUGCACAGAACUGCCGAAACAUUGAACAUUUAAACCUCAAUGGAUGCACAAAAAUCACAGACAGCACGUGUUACAGCCUUAGCAGAUUCUGUUCCAAGCUGAAACAUCUGGAUCUGACCUCCUGUGUGUCUAUUACAAACAGCUCCUUGAAGGGGAUCAGUGAGGGCUGCCGAAACCUGGAAUACCUGAACCUCUCUUGGUGUGACCAGAUCACAAAGGAUGGCAUCGAGGCCCUGGUGCGAGGUUGUCGAGGCCUGAAAGCCCUGCUCCUGAGGGGCUGCACACAGUUAGAAGAUGAAGCUCUGAAACACAUUCAGAAUUACUGCCAUGAGCUUGUGAGCCUCAAUCUACAGUCCUGCUCACGCAUCACGGAUGAGGGGGUGGUGCAGCUCUGCAGGGGCUGUCACCGGCUGCAGGCCCUCUGCCUUUCGGGUUGCAGCAACCUCACAGACGCCUCUCUUACAGCCCUGGGUUUGAACUGCCCACGACUGCAAAUUUUGGAGGCUGCCCGAUGCUCCCACUUGACUGACGCAGGUUUUACACUUUUAGCUCGGAAUUGCCAUGAAUUGGAGAAGAUGGAUCUUGAAGAAUGCAUCCUGAUAACCGACAGCACGCUCAUCCAGCUCUCCAUUCACUGUCCCAAACUGCAAGCCCUGAGCCUGUCCCACUGUGAACUCAUCACAGAUGAUGGGAUCCUGCACCUGAGCAACAGCACCUGUGGCCAUGAGAGGUUGCGGGUACUGGAGCUGGACAACUGCCUCCUCAUCACUGAUGUGGCCCUGGAACACCUAGAGAACUGCCGAGGCCUGGAGCGCCUUGAGCUGUAUGACUGCCAGCAGGUUACCCGUGCAGGCAUCAAGCGGAUGCGGGCUCAGCUCCCUCAUGUCAAAGUCCACGCCUACUUCGCUCCCGUCACCCCACCGACAGCAGUGGCAGGAAGUGGACAGCGACUGUGCAGGUGCUGUGUCAUUCUCUGACAGCAGCUGCCUGAGCCCAAGGGGUGAUGAGGCAUCCUUUCCUCUAGAAGACGCGAGUCUUCCUGACCUACUCCAUCACCCAAUCUGUUGAUUCUCCAUUGGGAAAGGCAUUUACAGCAUUACAUAGUGGCAAAUAUUCUUCAUCAAGAAUGACCAUUUCAGCGGGGCGUCACACCUGUAAUCCCAACACUUUGAGAAGCCAAGGUUGGUGGAUCACUUGAAACCAGGAGUUUGAGACCAGCCUUACCAACAUGGUGAAACCCCAUCUCUACUAAGAAUACAAAAAUUAGCCACGCAUGAUGGCUUGUGCAUAGUCCUAGCUACUCCGGAGGCUGAGGCAGGAGAAUCACUUGAGCCUGGGUAGUGGAGGUUGCAGUGAGCCAAGACUGCACUGUUGCACUCCAGGCUAGGAGACAGACUGAGACACUGUCCCGAAAAAUAAAUAAAUAAUAAAAUAAAAUACAAAAAGAAAAGCAAGUCUAGAGAGCUGAAGAUACUUCACUAAGUCUGGGUGUUUGUCUUACUAGUUUAAAUCAGUAAGCUUCUAUUAUUCAGUAGACAAAGAGAUAGGGUGAAAAAUACUAAGAAAUGUCUCAAUCUGGUCCAAUCCUGGUGGCACACACCUGCAGUCUCAGCUACUCAGGGGGCCUGAGGCAAGAGAAUCGCUUGAGCCCAGGAGUUCAAAAACAGCCUGGGCAACAUAGCGAGAUCCUAUCUCCAAAAAAAGAAGAAAAGAAAGAAAGAAAGGAAAGGGAAAGAAAGGAGACAGGGAGGGAGGGAGAAAAAAAAGGCAAGGCUCAGUGGUUCAUGCCUGUAAUCCCAGAACUCUGGGAGGCUGAGGCAGGAAGAGGGCUUGAGCCCAGGAGUUGGACACUAGUAUAGGCAAUGAAUAGUGAGACCCGCCCCCCCAUCUCUAACAAAAUUUUUUUAAAAAUUAGCCAGGUAUGGUGGCCUGUGCCUAUAGUCACAGCUACUCAGGAGUCUAGGGUGGGAGGAUCACUUUAGCCUGGGAGGUCACAGCUGCAAUCAGCCAUGAUUGUGCCACUAGACUCAUGUC